ACAGACUUGACAACAGAAUCCCCAUUGGAAAGGACAAGCUUGAAUGAGUGAAAGAGGGUAUGGUGGUGGCAGAUAUUCAUUUCAGGUGUCCUCAUUUGACUUCUCAUAGCCAAAUUCGAUCAGCUGUACAGAGUGGAUGUCUUCGUAUUCAUUUUAUUAGGAGCAAGGAUGUGGGAGGAAAGUGCUACAUCCAGACCCAAUCUACAACACCCCACCGAAGGAGGGCGACUGGGUGUGUCACCCAUGCUGUGGAAUGGUUUGCGCGAUGCGGAGU